rnacentral:rRNA from 1 species
UGGGGAAUAUUGGACAAUGGGCGAAAGCCUGAUCCAGCAAUGCCGCGUGAGUGAUGAAGGCCUUAGGGUUGUAAAGCUCUUUUACCCGGGAUGAUAAUGACAGUACCGGGAGAAUAAGCUCCGGCUAACUCCGUGCCAGCAGCCGCGGUAAUACGGAGGGAGCUAGCGUUGUUCGGAAUUACUGGGCGUAAAGCGCGCGUAGGCGGUCUUUUAAGUCAGAGGUGAAAGCCCGGGGCUCAACCCCGGAAUAGCCUUUGAAACUGGAAGACUUGAAUCUUGGAGAGGUCAGUGGAAUUCCGAGUGUAGAGGUGAAAUUCGUAGAUAUUCGGAAGAACACCAGUGGCGAAGGCGACUGACUGGACAAGUAUUGACGCUGAGGUGCGAAAGCGUGGGGAGCAAACA